rnacentral:sRNA from 1 species
UUUUUUGUAGAGAUGGGAUCUAGCUUUGUUGCCCAGGCUGGUCUCAAACUCCUGGCCUCAAGUAAUCCUCCUGCCUCAGCCUCCCAAAGUGAUGGGAUUAUAGGUGUGAGCUACCGUGCCCAGCUCAUAGUUGUUUUGGAAAGAGCCAGGCCAUUUGGAAUCGUUUUCCUUUUCCAGGACAGCUGAAGUGAGCCUGCUGGUCACACACCGUGCCUGGUGUGGGGGCUGCUGCCUGGGUAGCUGGGUGUCUCGGGCAUGUGCCCAUUCACUCCCUUGACUUUUAACUUGGUACGGGAGGAAUGGAAGUGGCAGCCACAAAUAAUGGCCAUCCUGGGCUCUCCUAGAACCCACUCGCCCCAGCUGGCCUCUUCUGCCCGGGGCUCUGCUCCCUCUGAGCCCGCUCUGAGGCUGCAGCCCAGGCUGCCUGUGCCCCACACUCCCUCCGGAGCUGACAGUCCAGCCGGGGCUCAGGGCCUUUCUGCCUUCCCUUCCCACCCUGUCCAGGAGCUCACCCAUGCCCUACAUGGCCCCCACCCAAGGCUUGUUUGUUUCUUGGCCUGCUCCUCCCAUGCCCAUCCUGGCUUCUCUGCACCAUGCAGGGCACACAGUAGGUGCUCACUGGGGACUGAAGGAAACGCACACCACUGAGGGCUGCUGAGGGGUUAAGGAACCGAAACUUUGUUUAGAUUUUCUUCUGUAUUUUCCAUAUCAGUGCCUCGAGUUUAAACUUUUUUUUUGGUCUUAUCUUCACGAAGGUUGAAAAAGAUCAUCUAGCAAAGCCUUUUUUCCCAGCUAUAUAUAAGGAAUUUGAAGAGUUGCAUAAAAUGGUUAAGAAAAUGUGCCAAGAUUACCUCAGUAGUUCUGGUCUGUGUUCCCAGGAGACCCUGGAAAUAAACAAUGAUAAGGUUGCUGAGUCAUUAGGAAUCACAGAAUUCCUACGGAAGAAAGAAAUACACCCAGACAACCUUGGACCCAAGCACCUCAGCCGAGACAUGGAUGGGGAGCAGCUAGAGGGAGCUAGCAGCGAGAAGAGGGAACGUGAGGCUGCGGAGGAGGGACUGGCCUCAGUGAAAAGGCCCAGAAGAGAAGCCCUGUCCAACGAUACCACUGAAUCUCUUGCUGCCAACAGCAGAGGCCGGGAGAAGCCCAGGCCUUUGCAUGCUUUGGCCACUGGUUUUUCCCCUCCAGUAAAUGUGACUGUCUCUCCCCGUUCUGAAGAAAGCCAUACAACGAUGGUUUCUGGUAGCAAUGGGAGCGUGUUCCAGGCGGGCCCGCAGCUUCAGGCACUGGCUAACUUAGAAGCCAGGAGGGGGUCUAUAGGUGCUGCUCUCUCAUCCCGGGAUGUCAGUGGGCUGCCUGUUUAUGCUCAGUCAGGAGAGCCUAGGAGGCUGACCCAGGCACAGGUGGCAGCGUUUCCUGGAGAGAAUGCUUUGGAACACUCUUCAAACCAGGACACCUGGGACAGCCUGAGGAGCCCGGGUUUCUGCAGCCCUUUGUCAUCUGGUGGUGGAGCAGAGUCUCUGCCGCCUGGGGGGCCUGGACAUGCAGAGGCAGGACACCUCGGCAAGGUUUGUGACUUCCACCUGAACCACCAGCAGCCCAGCCCCAGCAGCGUCCUGCCUGCAGAGGUGGCAGCCCCUCCGCUUGAGAAAAUUUUGUCUGUGGAUAGCGUGGCAGUGGACUGUGCCUACAGGACUGUGCCCAAGCCAGGGCCUCAGCCCGGCCCACAUGGAUCACUAUUGACUGAAGGGCGUCUCAGAAGCCUUUCGGGGGACUUGAACCGGUUCCCCUGUGGGAUGGAGGUGCACUCUGGCCAGAGAGAACUGGAGAGCGUGGUUGCUGUCAGCGAAGCCAUGGCUUUUGAAAUUUCCAAUGGGAGCCAUGAGUUACUGUCUCAGGGACAGAAGCAGAUUUUUAUUCAGACUUCCGAUGGGCUUAUCUUGUCCCCUCCAGGUACAAUAGUGUCUCAGGAGGAGGACAUUGUCAUAGUGACUGAUGUAGAGGGGCGUGCCUGCGGAUGGGCCCGCCAGAAGGAGUUCCUCUAGAAGCUGUGGAGUCGGUCGUCACCGUGGAGCCGGAGCCCUCACAGUGAAGUGGAGUCAGAUCCUAGAUUCGUCUGAUUUUAUCCAGAGAAGGUCUAUGGCAAGCAAUGUAUAUUUUUCUAAUGUGAAUACUGCACAGAUGAACCUUUUAUUUAUAAAGAAUAAUGUCUUUCUAC